rnacentral:lncRNA from 1 species
GGGUCUCAGUUAAUCUUCUAGAGGUAGAGCUUGAAUGCAGUGAGUGUGGCACCCCCUGCAGUGUGAGUUCAAGCAGUGGUCAGAGUCCAUACUAAAGAGCAACAUCCGUCACAAUCACAGCACAUAGGACAGACUUCCAUGCCUCAGAACCAGUGGGCAUCAAAGAGACACCUUUGAGGAAGCUGUGACAAAACACCAGAGAACAAGGAGUGUUGAGAGCCACAGCCGAAGGGGCCCCAGCAAACUUCCAGCUGCCGGCUGAUGAUUGGCUCACAGCGGCCCCAGCAACAUCUAGCUGAUUGGCUCCUCUGCGGUGAUGCUCAUUGGGCUGUUUCCCUGCCCUUUCAGACCACGGAGCUGCUCAUUGGGGGACUUUUUUGGCUCCGCCCACGUGACCCAGCCAAUCGGCCUCAAGAGCAGGAGGAUUGUGGGAGGUGGGGAGAAGCUUGUGUGGGAGAGAGAGGCUUGUGGAAAGCCGGUGGUGGCAGUUGAGGCUCUGAGGAUUUUUCCUGAGAGGCUGUUUUGUUUGGCGUGUGUGGUUCUAAAAAUAAAGUUAGUUUCUUUUGACAAGUGGCUCCUGAUUGUGCCCAGCCAGACUGCGGCAAAGGAGGAAUGAUUUAAUUUGUGCCCAAAUUAAUCAUGUGCCCCAGAGAGCAACCAUCCAAGUGUAAGGAAUGUACUGUUUCUUUUUCAAACAUUUGCGAUUUUCUUGUCCUGAGAGGAUUUAUUCUGGCAAAAUCAGACAGACAUGAUGUACGUGUCCUUUUCACUGUGCACAGGACACCCAAUGUUCUCCCCUUCAUUUGUUCCCAUGCAGAAAUACCUCGUGUUUUUCUUUGUAAAGUGAUUGUUCAUGUUCACAUAUAUUUUCUUUCUACACUUAUUAGAAGCACAAUCCCUUGGAGAAAUGCUGUGUUCCCAUCUCUGUAGUCUGACUAGGAUACUUACUGUGUAUAAUGAAAGUACAAAAUGUAGUUCAGACUGACAUUCUGCCCUCACUGUUAUGGAACAUGCACUGUAUUAUUUCUUCUGUGCUAAUGAGGAAAGGAACAUGAUUGUUGGCAAUAAUAAAAAAGAGACUAAAUUUUAUUACA